UGGGGAAUAUUGGACAAUGGGCGCAAGCCUGAUCCAGCCAUGCCGCGUGAGUGAUGAAGGCCCUAGGGUUGUAAAGCUCUUUCACCGGUGAAGAUAAUGACGGUAACCGGAGAAGAAGCCCCGGCUAACUUCGUGCCAGCAGCCGCGGUAAUACGAAGGGGGCUAGCGUUGUUCGGAUUUACUGGGCGUAAAGCGCACGUAGGCGGACUUUUAAGUCAGGGGUGAAAUCCCGGGGCUCAACCCCGGAACUGCCUUUGAUACUGGAAGUCUUGAGUAUGGUAGAGGUGAGUGGAAUUCCGAGUGUAGAGGUGAAAUUCGUAGAUAUUCGGAGGAACACCAGUGGCGAAGGCGGCUCACUGGACCAUUACUGACGCUGAGGUGCGAAAGCGUGGGGAGCAAACAGGUUAGAUACCCUGGUAGUCCACGCCGUAAACGAUGAAUGUUAGCCGUGGGGGAGUUUACUCUUCGGUGGCGCAGCUAACGCAUU
rnacentral:rRNA from 1 species